UAAAGAGUCACAAACACCCAUGAAAGUCAUCACACAGCCCAACGUGCCCUUUGGUGAAAUUCCAUUAGCUGAGAUUCAAAGGACUUUCUCAAGACCCACAGCUGAAACAUCUAAUAACCCCGUAGAAAUUUUAAGCAAUAGAGAUAAUACGAUCAAGGAGGAAACAUCCGAGCCCACAAAGAACAACCACGGUUUUAUAGCGCAUUCGAUAGCCCUAAGAUCU